rnacentral:rRNA from 1 species
CUACGGGGUGCUGCAGUGAGGAAUAUUGCACAAUGGGGGGAACCCUGAUGCAGCAACGCCGCGUGGAGGAUGACGCAUUUCGGUGUGUAAACUCCUUUUAUAUGUCAAGAAAAUGACGGUAGCAUAUGAAUAAGCACCGGCUAACUCCGUGCCAGCAGCCGCGGUAAUACGGAGGGUGCAAGCGUUACUCGGAAUCACUGGGCGUAAAGGACGCGUAGGCGGGUUGGAAAGUCAGGUGUGAAAUCCUACAGCUUAACUGUAGAACUGCACUUGAAACUUCUAAUCUAGAGUUGGGCGGGGGAGAUGGAAUUAGUGGUGUAGGGGUAAAAUCCGUAGAUAUCACUAGGAAUACCUAAAGCGAAGGCGAUCUCCUGGAACAUUACUGACGCUAAGGCGUGAAAGCGUGGGGAGCAAACAGGAUUAGAUACCCGCGUAGUC